CUUCUCUUUUUUAUACUUUUUUGUCAUCAAUUACAAAGGUGUUACAAAACAUUUUUCUGUUGUAUUUGAGGAUAUUACCAGAAAACAAUGGAAAGAGUCAUUGAUUAGGAAGUGGUUUGGAUCAGGAACCUGGUGCACAUGAAGAAAACGCUAUUGCUAGAUGCCAUUUGUAUGUAUAUAUGCAUCACUGAAAUGGCUGUCCAUAUAGCAAUACACCACUGAAGCGUAUUUUUCAUUUCUACCUUCCCUCCCACACCUCACUGUCAACUCCUUUUUUAAAACCACAUAUAAUAUAUGCAAAAAACAGAAGAAAAUGACUUAGAGCAUGUCUAUGUAUAAUGGGAUAUUGCACCUGUAGCUGCCCUAGUGCAAAACUCCAGUGCAGAUAAGCUACACCACUGCAAAACAGGACUUCCAUAAUGUGGCAAAUGGCAAUUUCAAACCAUGUGUCUACAAGCCUUGUAUUAUAUUGAUCUAGUAUAUCUAAAAUGGGGCUUUGGCACCAGUAUAGCUAAAUCAGUGUAGUUUUAUUCUUACAACUGUUCUAAUUAUAGACAAACUUUAGAUAAACCCAGUGGUGCCCAACCUUUUUGCCCCACAGGCCAGAUGGGCAGUGCCUAGUCUAGUUUUGGGAUGGGUCUGGCUAGUAGGAUAGAAUGGUGUAUGGGGCAGAUAUGGUAGGGGCCCAAGCCAUUGGCUGUGUGGGAGCGUGGCAGGGAAUGACCCAACCUCAAUUCAGCUGUGUGGGGAGAGUGGCUGUGGCCUGGCCCUGAUCCAGAUAGCUAGAGGGACAAGGUCUGGCCUGCCCUAAUCCAGCUGCAUGGGAAUUGAGAAUUUGGCAGUGGUUGUGUGGUGGCAGUAUUGCUACUGCUCCCCACUGCCAAAUUUCCCUACUUGUAAGGAACCCCAUGCCCCAGAUGCCAUGGCUCUGUGGGCUGGAUGUGGUCCUCAGGCCUUGGAUCAGUCCUGUGAUGGCCAACAUUUACCACUGGCCAAAGCAGGCACAACAGCAUUGACUUCAGUGACUGCUGCUACUAGUUUUGGUGAAUUUGUAAUAGAGCCAAUAACUGUGUUCAAAAAUAGCACUAAAUUAAAUUAACUGUAAGUGGACAGUGAUAUUUAUAGCUCAGUCUAUGUUAUUAUUGCCUGAUUGUUCCCAGUUUCAGUUUGUUUACAGUUUUUCACAUAUUGACUCCUUACUCGAGUUCUUUUAACAUAGGUUUGAAAUGUGAAUAUGUUUUAUUUUUUCCCCAGUAAAUAUACAAUACACACUUCAACAGUACUAUUAACCAACUUUUUAUGCCAAUUAAACUUUGCUGCACUAACAAUACCAAUGAAACACAUUAAGAGGUCAUACUUUUUUGUGAAAAAACUGUAGCCAAUAAACAAAUUUAAAAAAACAAUUCUAAGUGCUGCCAAAAAAUCCCUUUUGUUUAAACACAUUAUUCACAAUAAAUGUAUUCCAUUUUUAAAAAUGAAAGAAUACUUCUUUUAAAAUAGUAAAUUAAACUGCAUUUUAAAAAAUAUGUAUUGUGGUUCAUUGGAAGUAUACUGUAUAGAAAAGAGAGAAAAAAAAGAGACAUCACCUGUAAGAAAAUGGAGACACUUUGCCAUACACACCGACUCCUUCUUAUGAAAUAUUGUAAGCAACUUAUUAAUGAACAAAAACAUAGAGAAGCAGAUGGACAAGUUAGUGAAUAUCAUGGUACUGCACAGCUUUAAUACUGACACACAUUUACUUUCCAGUGGAAGAGAUAAAACACAUACCUGAAAGUAACUGGAAUGGCUUUUAUAAACUUCUAAUGGUACCAAUAUUUAAACAGUAUUUAGUAAGUAAGGUGUUCCACCAAAGCUCAGCACAGCGGUCAAAUAAAUCAUCCAAAUAAAUAAUCUUUUUGUGAUAUAAAAACAUCAAAAAUCUUAUACCCUUUUUACCUCUGUUAAAUAUGUUCAUUUUAAACAAUGGUUUUAACUAUAUGCAUUAAACCAGCAGGAAAGUUACAAAGAUUUUUUUGGUUAAAUAUAUAAAUGGAUUCAUACUCUUGCUUUGAUUUCUUUUGGCUUGUAACCUGCUAAGUAACAAUGUUGGCCUUAAGUAAAGUCAUUUUUUUUUAAUAUUCGCUAGUGCUGAGUUAAAAAUGAUAACUGCAGUGUUUUAUCUUAUCAUGGAGCAAUU